rnacentral:rRNA from 1 species
GAUGAACGCUGGCGGCGUGCCUAAUACAUGCAAGUCGAGCGAAUGGAUUAAGAGCUUGCUCUUAUGAAGUUAGCGGCGGACGGGUGAGUAACACGUGGGUAACCUGCCCAUAAGACUGGGAUAACUCCGGGAAACCGGGGCUAAUACCGGAUAACAUUUUGAACCGCAUGGUUCGAAAUUGAACGGCGGCUUCGGCUGUCACUUAUGGAUGGACCCGCGUCGCAUUAGCUAGUUGGUGAGGUAACGGCUAACCAAGGCAACGAUGCGUAGCCGACCUGAGGGGGUGAUCGGCCACACUGGGACAGAGACACGGCCCAGACUCCUACGGGAGGCAGCAGUAGGGAAUCUUCCGCAAUGGACGAAAGUCUGACGGAGCAACGCCGCGUGAGUGAUGAAGGCUUUCGGGUCGUAAAACUCUGUUGUUAGGGAAGAACAAGUGCUAGUCGAAUAAGCUGGCACCUUGACGGUACCUAACCAGAAAGCCACGGCUAACUACGUGCCAGCCGCCGCGGUAA